UGUUUCCUCAUAAGAUUUAGGAGAAAACUCUCCCUUGCCCAAGGAGAUAUUCUUCCUUUGUUAUUACUUUUUUCUUUUUCAAGAUGACAUCUGGGAGCCAUCUAACAUUUUCUAUGAUAUCCUUCCUUUGCCACCGGUGUAUAGAAGAUGGAAGGUUGGAGUUUUAGAUGAUGUUGAAAACCACGUUUUGACGAAGAUCCGAUUACUCGUGGGCAUGUACCAGUGGAACGACUACUGGUAUAAUGGAAUGGUGGAUCGUGUUGAGAAAAUGUAUAGGUGUACGUGAGAUUGUACACCAGAUCGGUUGGUUCCCCUCUACGGAAGUUUGGGUCGCUCCAUGAUUGUGAUAAUGCUAUAAUUGUAGCGGAGUGGUGGUGGUGGGUGACACUAAUCCAUUUCAUCUUUCACAUUAUUUGUUGGGAUCCUUGGAAAAACCACUUGAUCGGACGUGAUGACGGAGUCGUUCAUGCUAUGGCUCUUAGCAUGCUUCGUUACUUGUUACGAGGCCUGGAUUACUAUGCAUGGUAUCUUAGUGACGGAAAAUCAAUCAACCGAAUGCGAAACCUUUAUUUCCCCCCUCCUCGGGAUACAUGUUUUAUUUAUGCAUCUUUUGGCCAUAUGAUUGCUAUGUCUUGUCAACCGCAAUACUUAUACGAAGAUUCGUCUACCGCGAGUUGGAUUUUGACAUGUAUUGGAAGUCUAUUUCUUUAGGAUCCGUAUUUUUCCACCCAUGAUUUCCAUGAGGAUUUUGUUGUGGGAGAUCCUGGUUUUUUCCCUCAUCAUUGUUGAUGGGAUCCUCAAGUAAUGCUCCUACUCAAACGGCUCGUUUACUCAACUUGGGUCAUUUUCUUCCUAUUUGGGAUCUUCAAAUGCCUAUCCUGGGUACUUCAAAUGUGGUUACAAUUGAAGAGGGCCCUUUUGACCGGGAAGACGUUAUUGGUUUAACUCUUCCUAGCGAUAUUCCAGAGGUACCAUCAUUAUGAUUGCUCUGUUUUAAUCAUUUACAAAAACUCUUGUUAAUAUGGACCUUCUAUUAGGUUCCGAAAGUUCUUCAAGAAUACUUAUUUCUUCUGGUGGAUAGCCGAGAUCGCCUAUUAAAUUUGGCGGUAAAUGAUAUGUAUAUAUGGGAUCAUGUUGUUAAAUGAUGCCAUCGGUAGAGAAUCUUUGGAGCACCAAGAAUGCAUUGAAAGCUUUUUCAGAAGAAUUGUUCAUAAUUUGGCUGCUUUAUGAGGUAAUGCCCGAAUGGGUGGUUUGAUGGAGCCAUAAUUCCCUGCUUUAUAUACUUCGCCUCCUUCUUCUCGGCCAUCAGCUUCGCUUUUUCUUUCUCUGCACAUCCGCCUCUUCAAUUUUUACCGGAGACUCAACGAGAUAUCUUUGAGUCAUUCUUGCUUGUACUAGAUCUAAGUCUCUUCUUUCAAGUCACUUUCUACAUCUUUGGCGGUGGAACAUGUUUUUUUAUUACCGCUUGGUUGGUUUAUUGCUAUUGUGAUUGUUUAUUGGUGGGUGAAUUUGAAAAAUAAAAAUUGAGGAGAUAAAUAACACAUUUUCAGAAGUUUGAUUAACUGGGAAAAGAUAUUUUUGGUGGAACCUCGGUAUAGAUCUGCACAAGUAUUAUUUUUUCUGCAUUCGAUAUGAGUACAUCUUGAGAUUCAUCUUAAUGUUCAGCUUGAAGACGAAGAUAUGAUUAUUCAGGAAAAGAUGCAGAAUCAUUCCAUAUGCAGCUCUAGAGUACGUACAAUGAUAAAUCCAGAUUUCAAAGUUGAAGCAAGAUUUGGAUUUGGACAUAUUUUGACAAGUAAAGAUGAUCCGCCAAUAAUGAAGACGUCUGAAUCAAGUGUGUCACAUGGACAUUCUUAUCACAGAAUACAUUGGUUUCGAUCAAUGGGAAAUGGUGAAUAAUUUGGGUCUCAAUCCACACUCAGAAUGAAUCAUCGUCUUUAUGUAUUAAAUCGUCACUUAUUCCUUUUAGGUUUAUUGCUUGUUUUUUUUUUUGUCAUAAUGGGAAAGGGGGAAUCCACUCUAUGCUCACAUUUUGAUUUACCCACCGGAAUUAAUUUAACCAGUAUACCUUAUAUAA